AUUGAACGCUGGCGGCAUGCUUUACACAUGCAAGUCGAACGGUAACAGGCCUUCGGGUGCUGCCGAGUGGCGAACGGGUGAGUAAUGCAUCGGAACGUGCCCAGAGGUGGGGGAUAACGCAGCGAAAGCUGUGCUAAUACCGCAUGUGAUCUGAGGAUGAAAGCGGGGGACCAAGCAGCAAUGUUUGGCCUCGCGCCUCUGGAGCGGCCGAUGUCAGAUUAGGUAGUUGGUGGGGUAAAGGCCUACCAAGCCGACGAUCUGUAGCUGGUCUGAGAGGACGACCAGCCACACUGGGACUGAGACACGGCCCAGACUCCUACGGGAGGCAGCAGUGGGGAAUUUUGGACAAUGGGCGCAAGCCUGAUCCAGCAAUGCCGCGUGCGGGAAGAAGGCCUUCGGGUUGUAAACCGCUUUUGUACGGAACGAAAAGGCUCUGGCUAAUACCUGGGGCUGAUGACGGUACCGUAAGAAUAAGCACCGGCUAACUGCGUG
rnacentral:rRNA from 1 species